CCUACGGGGCGCAGCAGUGAGGAAUAUUGGUCAAUGGGCGGAAGCCUGAACCAGCCAAGUCGCGUGAGGGAAUAAGGCCCUACGGGUCGUAAACCUCUUUUGCCGGGGAGCAAGGGCCGGGACGCGUCCCGGCCCGGAGAGUACCCGGAGAAAAAGCAUCGGCUAACUCCGUGCCAGCAGCCGCGGUAAUACGGAGGAUGCGAGCGUUAUCCGGAUUUAUUGGGUUUAAAGGGUGCGUAGGCGGGCUUUUAAGUCCCCGCCCCCCCUCC
rnacentral:rRNA from 1 species